rnacentral:rRNA from 1 species
UACGUAGGGGGGCUAGCGUUGUCCGGAUUUAUUGGGCGUAAAGAGCGUGUAGGCGGCCAUGUAGGUCCGGUGUGAAAACUCGAGGCUUAACCUCGAGAUGUCAUCGGAAACCAUUUGGCUAGAGUCCGGAAGAGGAGAGUGGAAUUCCUGGUGUAGCGGUGAAAUGCGCAGAUAUCGGGAGGAAUACCAGUGGCGAAGGCGGCCUUCUGGACGGAUACUGACGCUGAGGCGCGAAAGCCAGGGGAGCAAACGGG